AUUGAACGCUGGCGGCAUGCUUUACACAUGCAAGUCGAACGGUAACAGGCCUUCGGGUGCUGCCGAGUGGCGCACGGGUGAGUAAUGCAUCGGAACGUACCCAGAGGUGGGGGAUAACGCAGCGAAAGCUGUGCUAAUACCGCAUGUGAUCUGAGGAUGAAAGCGGGGGACCGAGCAGCAAUGUUUGGCCUCGCGCCUUUGGAGCGGCCGAUGUCGGAUUAGCUAGUUGGUGGGGUAAAGGCCUACCAAGGCGACGAUCCGUAGCUGGUCUGAGAGGACGACCAGCGACACGAGGACUGAGACACGGCCCAGACUCCUACGGGAGGCAGCAGUGGGGAAUUUUGGACAAUGGGCGCAAGCCUGAUCCAGCAAUGCCGCGUGCGGGAAGAAGGCCUUCGGGUUGUAAACCGCUUUUGGCAGGAACGAAACGGUGUCCGCUAAUACCGGGCGCUAAUGACGGUACCUGCAGAAUAAGCACCGGCUAACUACGUG
rnacentral:rRNA from 1 species